rnacentral:misc_RNA from 1 species
GACCAAUGUUACGUUUUGCAUAUAUGAAAACGUCUUAAGAUAAUGUUCUGAAGCGUACGAAUACAAAAACGUCUUCAAAAACGAAAAAGACCAAGUGAACAUUCUGGAACCACUCAAUGAGGAUGAGAGAAGUAUUAAAGCCUUUACCUGAUGACAACAUUCUGAUUGUGACAUGUGGAAGUUUGAUUGGAAACCUCCACCGAGAUAGGUUCUUCUGUCCAGGUAUUCACCGUGAAUGCAUUGAGGUCAAUGGCACUUUUAUCACCCCUAAGCGAUUUUCAGUUAUGGGAGAAAAGGCAAGACUAAAAGAUUGGAAAAACGCUGUGCGGCUCAAUGGUUUUCAGUUGAGAAAGUACAUUGACUCUGGUAUCCUGAAAUUCAGCAAUCAUGAUAGCAUGUGUACAGGACGUUGUGUUGCGAGGGCACCGGGGGCCAGGUCAGGACCAGCAGCCGACAGCCUGUUGCCUUCAGACUCCAAGUCCAGUGCAACUCGUCCCCUGGGAAUGUUCACCACAUUAUCAGGAAACAACAUAAUGAAGAUUGAAAAAGUCCCUUCUGAUUUAUCUUGGUCAUACGAAAAUGGGGAGGAGGAGGAAGAUGUGAAGCCUGAUGUCAAUCAGCUCCAGUUUCAGAUGCUUCAGGCUCAGAAUAUGGCCGCCAGCAAGGCCAGUACAUAUGUGCGGUCAAGUCCUACGUCUAGGGUGGCCAAGAAGCUGGCACCACAAAUUUAUCCAACACUCAUUACACCUGUUCCCAUGGUGGCACCAGAUGAGGGACCAGAGGAUAUCACCGAGGAAGAUUGUGAAGACCGUCUACUCUGGAAAGGAAUUGUGGAACUUGGUCUUGUUGAUGAAUUCUUCAGAGAAAUCAAGGCAUCUCUAGAUGCACUGAAGAAUGGAAUGAUCAAACGACGUGUGCCUUUAGCAGACUCAAGAAAGAUCUCUGUGAUCGUAAAGCAGCUAGGCCUAAUGCAGAAGCUCAAAUACAAGCUGGAGGCCCACCAAACAGACAUGGAGAGGCAGAGGCUGAAACUGGACCGUGAUAUGGAAGAAUUACAGAGGAAGGUGCGUGAAUUUGAAGCAAAGAAAGCACUUCUAAAGAGGAAGUCUGAGUGCUUUGAGCAGCUACUAGAUAUCACAGCUCCAAAGACAGAGUCAGUGUGGGGGGAAGAGGAAGGAUCUCCGUCUGGAUACAAAAGAGUGAACAUGAACCAGAUUGAAAACGAAGCAGGGCAACUUGUGGUGUUUCCCCAGCAAAUGUCCUCUGUGCAGAACAUUGACAGCUCUGAAAUGUCUGCAAAUUCUGUCUCGGCAGAGGAUUCCGUUCCUGAUGACAGAGGUCACUAUGUAGUCAACCUGGCAAAUAACGAGUCAGCUUCAUCAACCAAUAGUUAUCCUGAAGAUCUGUCUAAGUCUGCCUCGCAACACCAGUUAACUGGUAAUACUGAGGUAGACAUGAGUUACAUUAUUACUCCAGCAGAGGAUCUGUCAGUGCCGACUGUUUUAAGUGACUGUACAGAGGAACAAGAGAUGAAUGGAGAAAGCAAGAAGCAUUCAAAUGAUAAUUCCAUUGACUUGCAAGGGGAUGAUGAUUCAUUUGCAGAGGCCAAAUACACAGGUAUUAAGAUCAAAGUACGCAGGGGCCGAAAACGCAAACCGAGGGAGAUUCCAAGGGUUGAUCCAGAAGAAGAAUUUGUUAUAAAGAUGGAAGAAGCCAUGGAUGAAGAAGGAGAAUCAGGUCUGAAUUAUGCAACAGGGUCAAACGAUUCUCCUUGUGAUUAUGCAAGUGGACGUGACACUGAUACAGUGAACAAUGGGGGUGGACGUGACACUGAUACAGUGAACAAUGGGGGUGGACGUGACACUGAUACAGGGUUACAGGAAGGACAGGAAAUCCCGCUUCAGCAGACAGCAGAUCACACAAUCUCCGAAUCGCAAGGGGAGGGGGAUGAUUUGACAAUUGGGACCAGUGCCACACAAGACUGUGAACAAAUUACCCAAAGUCCAUGCAAGCUCAGUUUUGAUUUCACCGGUGCCAAAGUCAAUCGUAGAGGAAGAAAGAGGAAAUCCAGAGAGAUGACACGGGAGGAAGAUUCUAGCCCGUCAUCAUUACCACUAUAGGUUCAUAUGUAGUGAAAGUUGUCUAAUCUGACUACCUGUUGAACAUUUUGCCAGAUUAGACAAAGUGUCAGAAUACACAGGUAUAAUGGGUAGUUCUUAUCAGAAAUGGGAUUACUGCCAUAUGUUCAAUUAGACAGGAUUUGGAGUUGAAAUGUUUUAAUGAUUUUUGACAAUACCUGUAUAAUAUUAAAUCACUGUUGAAACAUGACAGUUGAGUCUCAUGACAAAGUUUUCAGGACUAGGUGUUAUACAAUGGCUAGUUGUGACAAUUGCAAAUCAGAUAGGAUGUUUCCGAACUACAUUCAAAGUAUCAGUGAGUUAUAUCUUAAUCAUGUAAUGAUUUCAGUCUUAACAACAUUCAGUGUGCUUACAAAGCUGAAGGAAACGGUACUUUUUUGCUGAUAGUUUGUCUUUGUAAAACAACAUAAUUUGUUUUCACUUGAGAUCGUAUAAUUUUAUCUUCAGCAUGACUUCCAAUUCCCGAAUUGCUAUGCUUUCUUACUGUUUCUGUUUUUUAAUACCGGGUAGUUACUGUACCCCAACACAAAAUAAUUGUGCAACUAAAUUUUAUGUGUUAUAUACCCCUGGUAAUGAUGGGAUAUUUUUCUUUUUGAAAGAUUAAAUAAACAUAAGAAAAAAUGAUAAUUACUAAAAAGGAAUUACCCAUAGUGAAAGUAUGAUGACUAACUACCAUAUGAGGCAUUUUGGGUAAAAAAAUGUUAUUCAUUUGAAUUAGAAUUGGAUUGAUUCAUGAUCAACUCAGGUGCUUGAAAUGAACGCUGCUGAUGAAUAACAUUAACAUUAACAAAUCUGCAUUUCGAGCUAUUUUGUUACUGAUUUUAUAUAUUUUAUGCUCUUAGAUCAUUGUCCUUAAAGACUUUUUUUACUUCUUUAGCACUAAGGCUUUUUUAUCAUCUUUAGAUAAUAAAAAAACAACCUGUUUGCCAAAAAAUUGCUCUUUCUAUAAACUUUAUAUAAGCAUUUAAUAAGAAUUAACAACUUUCAAUGGGUGUAAUAUUUUAUGAUACACUGAAGCUGCUAUGCAGUAUGAUAACAUUGUCACAAUUUCAAUAUAUAAAAUGUAGUACAUGUGUUAUCAAUUUGGAUGUCACAAGGAACGAUGCUGUAGCAUCAUAGAUACAUGGCAAAGACAAAACUGAGUUCUCCUAUCUUAAAAUUAAAAAUGGGUUCUAAUGUCCAAGUCACUGUUUCUAAAAAAAGGAAAAUGAAGGAUUUACUUUAUGAUUAUUGUAUUGUUCUUUCUGACCUUCCAGUGUUAAUGUUUGUGGUAAUUAGAUGUUAUCAUACAGUGUGUCAUUUCCAUGUCAUACUCGGUAUCAAUUUCAGCCCACCAUAUAAGUCAGAUGGGGUUAGAUUUAGACUUUUGGAUUCUGUUUUAUAAUGGUAAACCAAUAAUUCUGAAAUCCAAAAUGAUCACUGGCUUUUGUUUGGGGAUUAGUAAUAUGGAUGGUAGAUACGGUAAGACAAAAACCAGGGUUCUUACUUGUCAUUGGUCUAUUUGUACAUGUGUUGGGUGUGCAUACAAAGAAUUGCAAAUUUGACCCUUUUCUAUUUGAUUUUUAUGAAACUCAAUCAUUUCAUAAAAAUCUAAUGUGUAAUAGGAACUGUUAUCAUGUCAUAAUGCAUAGUAUAGGUGUUUUUUAAAAGAGAAAGUCACAGGGUUAUUGAUAAAAAAUUAAGUGAAUGGAAUUUAUUACCUCAUAUCUGAUAAAUGAUAACAAUUUGGGGGGAAAAUGUCCUCUGUACUAAGCCUGUCUGCUCCAUUUCUUUAAUGUUUUAUAGAACAUAAUGAAUUCUACAUAAACAAAUGUAUUGAUAAAUUGAAAUCCAGUUUUGGAAUUUGAAAUCCAUGAAUGUGUCUAGUAACAUAAAGGUUAGGAGUUGGUUAUGUCAUUGGGGUGUAAGAGAUGAGGUUUAAAGGUUAGGAGUUGGUUAUGUCAUUGGGGUGUAAGAGAUGAGGUUUAAAGGUUAGGAGUUGGUUAUGUCAUUGGGGUGUAAGAGAUGAGGUUUAAAGGUUAGGAGUUGGUUAUGUCAUUGGGGUGUAAGAGAUGAGGUUUAAGCUGAUAUGUCCAGCAUGCACUUAUAUUAGAUACUCGGGAACAAUGUAGUUACUUUAUAAUAGCAAAAGUAAGACUUAUCUUAAAGACUAGAACUUUGAUAAUAAUUGAUCACAUGUCUGGCAGAUACACACAAACUGACUGUCAGGUAAUUGUUGGCUCACAAGCUGUAGAUUAAUCUUCUAGUAAGAGUAACUAAUUAUAACCUUAAGAAAAACUGAUGGCCAAAUAUUUUCCAACAUCUACUUAACCUUAUUUUUUUUGGACUUUAUUAAAUCUUAAAGCAGAAAAUUUUCUCUGUGUAAAUUGUUCACAGCAAAAGUAACUAUAUACAUGGCUGGCUUCAAUAGUGGAUUUUAUAGACAGGUGGUUUCUAAGGGAGGUUUCAGUCGAGGGAUAUCUUAAUAAUAAACAUGUAUGUUUGCUAUUUACCUUUAAUGUUCACCUUGGUUCACACUCCCAGGAAUUGUUAUUUCAAUUUUCACAGUUUUUGAUAACAUGCAUCUUGAAGCAAUAAGAAUUGUUUUGAUUUCACUAAUUAUGAUAAACUUGAUAUAAGAAUUAACUCAUUGUCCUGAAGUACGUCCCUGUUUUUGGUGUGUGAGUUAAAUCUUGUUUUGAAGAGCCAUGAUGUAUUUUUGCAACUUGUGUUUGUGAUAUUGGGUUUUGAUAAUCUACCACAAUCUUAUGUAAUGUAAAGUCCAAUAGAUAUCUCUGACAUAAAGUACAAUUAGAAUGAAAGAUUAUAUGAAGAUUUCAUUUCUAGCUAGAUGGUACUGUCCCUUGUUGGCCGUUUUUGUCCAUUUGUAGUUUACACCGUGAAUCUGUGUGCAUGGUUACGGUUUAAUGUCUGUUCUGUUACAAAUUUUUUACAAAUUAAAGGAACAAGAAGUUCUUUCUUGAGUAUGAAGCAUUCACUUAUCAUGAAAUUUUAUUUGUUAUAUGAAAUAUAAUUCAUACAGGAUAUUAUAUGUUUUCAAAUGUAGAUAUGUAGAUUUUGAAUAGACACUGAAGGUAUAAUGUAAACAAAGUACAGAAUGGUUCUUAGUGAUUUUGGCAGUUUUCACAUAUUAAUUAGCUGUAACAUUCAAAUAAUCUUAAUUCUUUAUCCACUUAAUACUGUAUACAGGAAAUGUUCAACUGUAGUUUACCUUUCUCCCUAUUACUCAAGGGAGACACAAUGUCCCUUAAUUUGAAAAUCCGGUGCAAUUCAUAUGAAGUAUACGAAGUCCCUGCUAAUAGCUCAUCAACGAAUUCAAACAGAGCGGGGACAACACAGCAGAAUCCAGCUUAUAGAUGAUAAGAAAUUGUGUUGAUAUGUUUCAGCUCAAACCUAUAAGUCGAAACAUGUCAAGACCUGAAAAAAUCAUCAAAAAGUAGAUGCCGUGUUGUCCCUGCUUCGUUGGAAUUUUUUCCCCUAAUAAUUAGGCAGAGUUCAACAAAUAGUGUAACUGAUACAGACAUUGAAAAGACAUUUCCCUGGUAAAUGUUUGCUAUUUCCACUACGUUCAUACAUAGACAAGUAUAUCGGUUGCUGAGCUUUUUAGGGGGUGAAAUCAUUUAAAAUAUUUUCUCACUAGUUUUGCAGAAUUUAACAUAUAAAAACAUCACUGGUAGCACAGUGGAAAAGAUCCUUGCUUUGUAAUCAGAAGGUACCAGAAUUAUAUCUAUGUGUCAGAGGUAUUUUUGUGAAAAAAGGAUAUAACUCUCGUUAUAGUAAAUGUGUUAGCAACUCCAAGACUUAUCACGACGUCAAUAUUAUACAGUAUUACACAGAAUACUUUGUACUGUAAUAAUUCCACUGUGUUUGAAAAUAAGUCAAUAAAAAUAUCUAGUAUUUAGGUAAAAGCUGGCUAGUUUACAGUAUUACACAGAAUACUUUGUACUGUAGUAAUUCCACUGUGUUUGAAAAUAAGUCAAUAAAAAUAUCUAGUAUUUAGGUAAAAGCUGGUUAGUUUACAGUGUUUCACUUUUUUACCAAAUUUCAGUUACAUAAUUGUAGUUUUGCUAAAUUUAGAAAAUCACAGCAGAUCCCCAGCUAGAGGCAAUAUCUUAUCUUUUUUUUAAAUACAGCAAGAUGAUUUUAAAAAUUACAGUAGCAGUUUAUAUGUCUGUUCCUGAAGAAAGGUAAUUUAUAUUAACUGCAUAAUGUACACCUGCACGUUUCUAUGUAUUUCAAAUAGGAAAUAUGUAAACUAAAAUGUUUACAGGUUGUAUCAACUAUCCCAAUGUAUUCCAAUAUAUUUGCUUAAAUAUUGGAAUCAUUUUAUUUAGAUUUUGUUUUGAGUUUGAGCUUCAGGAAGCUUAUCAGUAUAACUUGAUUUUACUUUAUGACUAUAGCUAAUAGUUGUAGUUUUGGUGAUGAAGUAUUCUGUGUUAAUAAUGUCACUUAUACAUACAUUUAUAGUAUAUGCUGUUUGUUUUUGAAAUAUUGAAUGCUCACUAGAACUAACAGCAAAUCACUUCUAAAUUAUCCUUUAGUUACCAGUAAGGAUAUACAAAUGUCUAUAUAUUAUCUUAAAUAUUGUUUACUUCAUCUCCAAUCAAUUCCUACAUGUAUAUAUGUGAUCUUUGUGACUGAGUUAUUGAUUAUCAUAGUGGUCUGUACUUUUCCAAUGUGUCAUUAACCAAUCAUCAAAGUCUGAACUGCUUAUCAGCUAUGUAGUUACAGGCUGCAUAUUUUCGAACUGUUUAACUGGUUAAGGAAUAGGGUUAAUUUUUUCAACAUUUAUGAAGUCAUAACAACAUUGGGUUGCUGGACAUACUUCAUGAAUAACCUAACAUGUUUUUAUCGAGGAUUUACCCAGUAAUAAGUUGUCGUUGUCAGAGUUUUUGCAUUUACUAAACUUUCUAUUUUUCUUACUUGAAUAUUUUAAGGUGUAUCAGGAUAUUCCGUCUUUGCAUAUUGCAGAGUUAUCUUCUCUUGUGAGCAGGUAUUGAUUGUUGCGUCAUUGGUU